AUCAUGCUGACGAGUCCCGAAUAGGACGAAAUUCGCGUCCUUGAU
rnacentral:hammerhead_ribozyme from 1 species